AAAACUGUUACCUCAGGUUUUUCACGUAACAGAACCGGGGCUUACGGUAACGAAGCCCC
rnacentral:sRNA from 1 species